rnacentral:snRNA from 1 species
GUGCUCACUUUGGCAGCACAUAUACUAAAACUGGAAUGAUACAGAGAAAAUUAGCAUGGCCCCUGUGCAAGGAUGACAUGCAAAUGUGUAAAGCAUUCCGUAUCUUU